GGGUCAGUAGGUUGGUCGUGCCACCGGUACGUACUGGUCUCACUGAUUCCUCCUUCCUGAAGAACCGUAAUGCCAUUAAUUUGGUGUUGCGGGGAAACAGGACUGUUACUUUGAAAAAAUUAGAGUGUUUAAAGCAGGCUAACGCUUGAAUACAUCAGCAUGGAAUAAUGAAAUAGGACGAUCGAUCCUAUUUUGUUGGUUUCUAGGAUUGACGUA
rnacentral:rRNA from 1 species